GCUAGUGUGGCAUAGUGGUUUGAGUGCUGGACUGUGACUCUGGAGACCAGGGUUCAAUUCCCAUGAAAUUCA